CCGGAUAGGUAGCAGACAAGCAUUUGACUGCUAUUAAAGUGGCUAAGGCCAUGAACAUGGAUGGACCUGCGGUGCAUUAGCCAGUUGGUGAGGUAACGGCCCACCAAGGCGACGAUGCAUAGCCGGCCUGAGAGGGCGGACGGCCACAUUGGGACUGAGACACGGCCCAAACUCCUACGGGAGGCAGCAGUAGGGAAUUUUCGUCAAUGGGGGGAACCCCGAACGAGCAAUGCCGCGUGAGUGAGGAAGGUCUUCGGAUCGUAAAGCUCUGUUGUAAGAGAAAAACGACAUUCAUAGGGAAUGAUGAGUGAGUGAUGGUAUCUUACCAGAAAGUCACGGCUAACUACGUGCCAGCAGCCGCGAUAAUACGUAGGUGGCGAGCGUUAUCCGGAAUGAUUGGGCGUAAAGGGUGCGUAGGUGGCAGAACAAGUCUGGAGUAAAAGGUAUGGGCUCAACCCGUACUGGCUCUGGAAACUGUUCAGCUAGAGAACAGAAGAGGACGGCGGAACUCCAUGUGUAGCGGUAAAAUGCGUAGAUAUAUGGAAGAACACCGGUGGCGAAGGCGGCCGUCUGGUCUGUUGCUGACACUGAAGCACGAAAGCGUGGGGAGCAAAUAGGAUUAGA
rnacentral:rRNA from 1 species